rnacentral:misc_RNA from 1 species
UCUGCACAGGUUCCUUGUCUUUG